AUUGAACGCUGGCGGCAGGCCUAACACAUGCAAGUCGAACGAGUGGCGGACGGGUGAGUAAUGUCUGGGAAACCGCCUGAUGGAGGGGGAUAACUACUGGAAACGGUAGCUAAUACCGCAUACUCUCGGAUGUGCCUAGAUGGGAUUGGCUAGUAUGCGGGGUAAGGGCUCACCUAGGCGACGAUCCCUAGCUGGUCUGAGAGGAUGACCAGCCACACUGGAACUGAGACCCGGUCCAGAUUCCUACGGGAGGCAGCGUUGGGGAAUAUUGCACAAUGGGCGCAAGCCUGAUGCAGCCAUGCCGCGUGGAUGAAGAAGGCCUUCGGGUUGUAAAGUACUUUCAGCGGGGAGGCGUUACCGGCAGAAGAAGCACCGGCUAACUCCGUGCCAGCAGCCGCGGUAAUAC
rnacentral:rRNA from 1 species